UGAAGUCUUGCAUUCCCGCCAUGGAAAUCGAUUCGGAGAAGAGUCUCUGCAGAGCGCUUUGUGCCUACAACUCCAUGGAUGAAGUGUUUGAAAUUCAGAAAGAAACGUACAGGGGGCAGCAAUACAGUCAGAUUUACUUUGCUCGUCUUCACUUGAUGAGAACUCUCCUGUAUUCCCUUGUAUCCCGGUGGAAGCCUCAUUUACCUGUAUGCACAGUGUUGGGACUGGAGGAGGGCAAGGAAUGUAUCAUCGUUGGAACCCUUUAUAAACACAUGAAGCUCAAACCUUGCAUACUUGAUGAGUACUCUAAGGAGAGAUCUAGAACGCCACUUGUCAGGCCUCAUAACUUCAUGCACCCAGAUGAUCAUCUAGUUUUGGAGGAUGAAAGUGGGAGAGUUAAGCUCAGUGGGGAUCUCAUUUCACCUUCUGUGUAUAUAACAGGGAUCGUAGUUGCUAUACAUGGGAAAGAAACUGGGGCUGGUGAGUUUUUGGUUCUAGAUGUCCUGGAAGCAGGCCUACCACCACAAACAGAACUUCCUCUUAAAUCAAGGGAAGACAAAUAUGUCGUUUUUGUGUCCGGGUUAAGUUUUGGGAGCAGCAACUCCAAUCCUCUCCAAUUUCAGCUCUUCAUUGAUCAUAUUACUGGUCAUUUAGGAGAUGAGAAGGAGCAAAUUUUGGCAUCCCAAAUCGUUCAUGUUGUCAUAGCAGGGAAUUCUGUUGAGUUCCCUCGUGAACUUCUUAACGGGCAGAAUUUAGCUGCAAGGGAUCUCUCAAGGUUGUCUGAACCAAUAAAGGAACUUGAUAUUCUGUUGAAUCAGAUUGCUGUAGGUUUGCCUUUGGAUAUCAUGCCAGGACCCAUGGACCCAGCUAACUACGCAUUACCACAGCAGCCUCUGCAUAGAUGCCUUUUCCCUGGGUCAUCUGCUUAUAACACUUUUAGAUCCUGCACAAAUCCUCACUGUUUUGAGCUUGAUAAUAUUAGGUUUCUCGGGACAUCAGGUCAAAAUAUAGAUGAUCUUGAUAAGUAUUCAGAGGCCAAAGAUAAACUUGAAUUCAUGGAAAGGACUCUACGGUGGAGACAUUUGGCACCAACAGCACCUAAUACACUCGGGUGCUAUCCUUUCACUGAUAGGGAUCCUUUCUUCCUUGAGAGCUGUCCCCAUGUGUAUUUUGUUGGAAAUCAAGAUAAAUAUGAAACUCGUGUGAUCAAAGGAUCUGAAGGGCAGUUGGUGAGGCUCAUUUGCGUUCCUAAAUUCAACGAGACUGGAGUUGCUGUUAUGCUAAACCUGAGGGAUCUUGAGUGUCAUGCUCUUAGUUUUGGGACGCAAUUCAGCUCUUAAAUAUGCGCAACGAAGUGGUAACUGAAGCUGUGACCUUAAAAUUUUACCAUUGGUCGAAGCACGACAGCAUACUACCGUUUACAUGUUACGGGAAGUUUGUUAAUUGCUGCCAUCUCUACCCUUAAAGAGAAAGCCAAAAGGUGUAAAUUGGUGCUCAAAGCUGACGAGGGAAUUUUCCUAGUGUAAUAUAUUGCUGGUGUAGUGCUCUAAUUUAUACACUUUGAGUAGAGUUUUUCCAGCUCGUAGUUGCAAGUUUAUACAUUUGGUGUAACAGUAACGUUUUGGGAAACUAGGAUUGUCUUAAUCAGAGGGGAUUGUAAUUUCCAGCGUAACAUCAUUUAUUACCAUACUUUUUUCAGUUA